AGAUUAAUCCAUUCCACAGGCAAGAAAGCAUUUCAGGACGGAGCGUGUGUCUGGAAGCCCUGUCCGUCAGCAGAUGUUACUGCCUCCACCACCUGCAUAUGAGUCAACACCACACAGGAAACCUGCCAGUCGCCCAGAGCUGGAUGGGUCUAUUGUAACGCAAGCUCUGCCUGCCACUUCAUCUUGGGACCCAGUUGAAGGUACAGUGGCUUUGAAUUUUCCAUUUUCAAUUAAAUACAAUUUCAUGACAAGGAACUUGAGAGUAACUUAACUUUUUUGUUGUUGUAAACAGCAGAACUCAUCACACAGAGGGAGGUGACUCAUCACACAGAGAGGCAAGAAGACUCACUUAAGUUGUUCACAUAUGAAAGUAUAUAAUGUAUAACAACUAAAACCAUUAAUUAUUCCAUGAGGACAUCCAUUACCCGCAUGGCACAGCGGAUGGACACAUUUGAGGAAAAGAUGGAUGAGCUGCUCAUGCUCUUAAGGAGCUCCCAGUCACCUCCCUCUGCUCCAGUUGAUGACGUGUUGCUGUCGCCCUGCUCGAUGGUCACUGAGCUGCAGGAGUUAGACAGGAGUCUCGGUCAACAGGAGAGGAGGAACAAAAUGCAACUUUUCCUGACAACUUUGGCGGUUCGACCAGAGGUACUGCCAUCCGUCGCAUGCUACGGUGAGUGGCAAC